CAAUGUUCAUGCAAUGUCUUUAUUUACAAUAUUCAUCCUGUGCCGCAAUCAUUUUGAUAAGUCAGAACACCUCGUGGUGUGUGUCACAAAUGGAAGAGCAAAUUCAAUCGCAUGGUGGGAAAUGUGUGUAAACAUGCCAUUGGCAGCACAAAACUACAAAUCAGGAGAGUGCUGUAUGAGACAAAAACUAUAAACCAGGAGUCCGCUGUAUGAGACAAACAUUACAAACCAGGAGAGCGCUGAAUGAGACAAAUUGCAAGGCAAAUUCAAUUGCAUGGUGGGGAACUUUUUCAACAAUUAAGGAAUUGCUUAUGUCCAGGUAAAGGAGAAUCUCGGGUCUAUUGGACGACACCUUCCAGUACAGAGGACCCAACUAACCACCUCUGAAGUGCAUAUGAAGUCCCAAUAUGUAUUACAAUGUGAUAAGAGCAGAGCAGUGCUGGCGUCCAUUUUUAGACACACAAAACCCACAAAUAGCUGGCAGACGGCAUCUAGCCUGACAGGCACCGAUAACAAUAACGAUCACACCAUCAUAGGCAGCUGGGCUCAGAGCAGCCGAAACGUGGGGCAGGAUUGUAUUUACACUUACUCUUUCGUCGUAAAGAAUACAAAAAAUCCAAAAGUUCAGGGGGCAGCUGUCGUAGAAGGUAUAAGUCCUGACCCCUGGUGUGUGCUUCAAUCACUUUCCAUUAGCACACUGGUGGAAUGGGUACAAUGCAGUCAUGUCUCGUGUUCAUCAAAGAAAUAACAUUCCGUGCUUUUAGUUGUUUUUCCAGACACUGUAUGUUACAUCAGAAAAUGUUCUCUGUGUGUGAGCGUGGAAUGAAGGACCAAGCUAAACAAAAUGGAAAGCUUGAAGUUCAGAUGUGAUUGAUGGUCGAUUAAAACAAGCAAAUGUCCCUCCAGGAUUCUCCAACCACAUAAUUAUUACCUAAAUCAUUGUCACUGCAAAUAAUGCCAAGGCUUGAAUCUUUAACUAAUCACUGCAAUGUUUCUGGAUAAAACAGACAAACCAUUGAGUCAUUGUUGCAUAAAACUGAAACUGACUAAGCAAUUUUAACCAAUCACGC
ensembl:lncRNA